GCUGGCGAACUUGGAGAUAGCUGGUUCUCUCCGAAAUAGCUUUAGGGCUAGCCUCAAGUGAUGAUUAUUGGAGGUAGAGCACUGUUUGGACGAGGGGCCCUUCUCGGGUUACCGAAUUCAGACAAACUCCGAAUGCCAAUCAAUUUAACUUGGGAGUCAGAACAUGGGUGAUAAGGUCCGUGUUCGAAAGGGAAACAGCCCAGACCACCAGCUAAGGUCCCAAAAUAUAUGUUAAGUGGAAAAGGAUGUGGCGUUGCCCAGA
rnacentral:rRNA from 1 species